rnacentral:lncRNA from 1 species
CUGAAGAAAUCCAGGGCAGACAAGGCCUGGUAGACCGCAAGCAAGCCCCGCUGGCAGGAGGGCAGUGCCCGCUCUUUCCUCCCACCCUGCUCCAGCAGGUGUAGGAGUCUGAGCAAUGCGGUCUUUUUGCACCUGGGGGAAAAAAUGCCUUUGGCACCUAGCGCAAACAGCUCUCGCUAACAUAGAGCUGAGGCAUGGAGUUCUCUUCCCCCUGCCUCCUCCCGGUCCCCUCUAGAAACAGAAACCCCUAAGAUUUUCACAGCAAACGUAUCUAGCCUGCACAAGUGCAUUCCGCCCACCUACAGCAAUGAAAAGCGGUUUUGUGGCUAAGUUGGAGAGCACGUCUUUAGGCAAACACUCACAUCAAUUCUCAUGUGCCUGAACUUGCAGUUGCCACUGGAACAGCGACCCUCCACCCACAGCCGGCACACUUGUUCGCUCCCCAGAGCCGCUUCACAGUGGCGGAAGGGACAGCUGUCUCCCUGCACGCAAAAGGAAACCACACGGGAAAAUAAGAGUACGGCCUGAAACGUGCCCAUGCUAUCAGCCCAGCUUGUUAGCAGCGAGCGCAGAAUCCCACCGGUUGUGAAGGUGGAGUAAAAAUAGAAGUAGCAGUCGACUCCUCGCUGAGACAUGAUGAAAUUCUCAGAGCAAGCUCGGCUUCAGAGGAGUUCCCUGCUCUUGGAAAGAGCCGGACGCCCUCCUUCUUGGACUGCUUGGAUCCGCAAAAUCGCCUUUCCGACCGGGACCCUGAGGAAAGGGUCAAGAACCGGAAAAGAAUGAGGAAUAAGCAUUUCCCCAGCUUUCCUUUUAUGCAAUUUAGACUCUCGAGGAGGGCAGCGUCUCGGAAGCAGCUGGUUGAAGAACUGUGCCAACUCUAGAUCCAACUUGCGUCUAACUGCCACGACCUCUCCCAGCAAGUACUGUCCUCCAUCUCACCUACAGUUACGUAACUUGCAGCACACAUUUUGCGUUCCUGUCAUGAGAAUGAAUCCAUCUUCUCCCCUUGCUGCAGCUGCAAGGGAUGCACUGGUACGACUCACGUGUUUGACGAACCUACGGUUGUGGCUUACCCAGGCACAGCUGCAGGCCUUCUCCCUUCCAGCUAACACACCAGCCCGAUGGCUGAGCAACACCGUCAGCGAGAGCGGGCAGCACCCGUCAGCCACCACCACUCUCACUGCCAGCCGGGACGAGGGCUGACGCAGCGUGUCCGCACUCCUGCGCAGCGCUCACGGCUGUGGCACUCACUGGUGGCAGCCACGGCCCGAAAGACAGUGCUUGUGAGGUCACUGUGCUUGUGAUGUCACCGGACAGUCCAUGCCCCAGCUGAGCACUUGGCUCUCCACCGUGACUCGAGUGGGGUUUUGUUAAAAAUAUGCUGGAUACGGCACAGCCAGCCAUCGGUGGGUCAAUAAAGCACAAGUUGCACUCUGUGAAGUCUGUGCUCUUCUUCCUUUGGAAUGUCU